rnacentral:rRNA from 1 species
GAUGAACGCUGGCGGUGUGCCUAAUACAUGCAAGUCGAGCGAACGGACGAGAAGCUUGCUUUUCUGAUGUUAGCGGCGGACGGGUGAGUAACACGUGGAUAACCUACCUAUAAGACUGGGAUAACUUCGGGAAACCGGAGCUAAUACCGGAUAAUAUUUUGAACCGCAUGGUUCAAAAGUGAAAGACGGUCUUGCUGUCACUUAUAGAUGGAUCCGCGCUGCAUUAGCUAGUUGGUAAGGUAACGGCUUACCAAGGCAACGAUGCAUAGCCGACCUGAGAGGGUGAUCGGCCACACUGGAACUGAGACACGGUCCAGACUCCUACGGGAGGCAGCAGUAAGGAAUCUUCCGCAAUGGGCGAAAGCCUGACGGAGCAACGCCGCGUGAGUGAUGAAGGUCUUCGGAUCGUAAAACUCUGUUAUUAGGGAAGAACAUAUGUGUAAGUAACUGUGCACAUCUUGACGGUACCUAAUCAGAAAGCCACGGCUAACUACGUG